rnacentral:rRNA from 1 species
CCUACGGGGUGCAGCAGUGAGGAAUAUUGGUCAAUGGGCGCGAGCCUGAACCAGCCAAGUAGCGUGAAGGAUGACUGCCCUACGGGUUGUAAACUUCUUUUAUAAAGGAAUAAAGUGAGGCACGUGUGCCUUUUUGUAUGUACUUUAUGAAUAAGGAUCGGCUAACUCCGUGCCAGCAGCCGCGGUAAUACGGAGGAUCCGAGCGUUAUCCGGAUUUAUUGGGUUUAAAGGGAGCGUAGAUGGGUUGUUAAGUCAGUUGUGAAAGUUUGCGGCUCAACCGUAAGAGUGCAAUUGAUACUGGCAGCCUUGAGAACAGUUGAGGUAGGCGGAAUGCGUGGUGUAGCGGUGAAAUGCUUAGAUAUCGCGAAGAACUCCGAUUGCGAAGGCAGCCUGCUGGACUGCAACUGACGUUGAGGCCCGAAAGCGUGGGGAGCGAACAGGAUUAGAUACCCGAGUAGUC